rnacentral:rRNA from 1 species
UACGUAGGGACCAAGCGUUGUUCGGAUUUACUGGGCGUAAAGGGCGCGUAGGCGGCUUAACAAGUCACUUGUGAAAUCUCCGGGCUUAACUCGGAACGGCCAAGUGAAACUGUUAAGCUAGAGUGCGGAAGGGGCAAUCGGAAUUCUUGGUGUAGCGGUGAAAUGCGUAGAUAUCAAGAGGAACACCUGAGGUGAAGACGGGUUGCUGGGCCGACACUGACGCUGAUGCGCGAAAGCCAGGGGAGCAAACGGG